AGGAAGAGCUAUUUCUUUCAACAGUUGUGUGAAGCAUUAUCCACACAGCAAGAGGGCGUGAAAAGACUCAAAGCAAUCCUUUCUGGUGUUGCCUUCCUCACCUUCAGGCUAUUGUGGAUUCUGAAAGCACAGCUUUCCAAAGGCGGAAUAACAGCUUUUCUGGAUCUCCAAGUCUAUUUACUGCAGACCAUGAGAAGCAGUUGGCCUUUGGAAGCUUUAUUCUAUGUGGGCUUUUUAUGGACUUCGUGGAAUUACCUGUGGCAUGACUUGCCGCUCAUACUCACUGUGAGCAAGUAUGGAAGCAUAAAAGCACAAGGUUUAUGUUAAUGUUGAAAAGCAUGGUAGCUUCCAAAUGCUCCAUCUGGGAUCAAGGCAUCUUCUUUGUGCUCAGAGUUGUACAAGACCAUGACAACAAGAAGGUCAUGAAAGAUCAUCUGAUCAAUGAUUUAUAGUCUUCAGCAGAAAGAAGCUCAUAAACGGACAGAAGAUUCAGGCUUUGGAUGCAGUACUUCUCAUUGCUUUGAGUAAUGCUGAAUCUGACUGAAUUAUGGUUUCCUUCUCUUUCAGUUAUGAUAACUUUUGGGCUUUCUUUCUGACCGAGUGUGACUUUAAAAAAUAUUCUGUAUUUGUUGAACUGUAAAAUUUGCCUGAGUCCAAAUUUAUACUGUACAGGUCAGCAGAUAAACACCGAACUAAUAAACAUCCCAGUAGUGCUGUGGAGGAGGGGGAGUGAGAAAGAAAGGCCACUCCCAAUCUUCUUCACCAGUAUAUGUUUGCAUGUGCAUAUUGCUUUUGAGAUAAGUGUUGUUGACACAAGCAAAGAGUCUGCCUCACUGUGGCAAAAUGAACUGGCCUAAGGAUGGACAGGACCCUGAAGGGCUUUUGCAUAUGGACCACAUACUGUGUAUCCAUCUUUGAAAGUUCAAGGCUUCAGCUAGAUGUUACUGUGGUCCAGAGGUGACAACAAGAGAACAGAGACUUAAUCCUUACAGCACCUUGGGAAAACGGUGCAGCUGGAAUAGAUGGUAGUGCUGGAUCACUGCAUUAAAAGGAUUGCUGGUUACUGGGGACUGCAACUUUGAGCUCUCCAGUUCCAGUCAGACAAUCAUAUUUUCAGCAUCCGGUAUAGAUGUCAGAGAGGGAUGAAAGGAGGAUGCAAAUCAUAAUAUCAAUGCCAUGAUUGUGAGUUACAAAUAGAAAUGCUUAUUUCAUUUAUAAACACUUUUGGCAGCUCCCUCUGUUUCUGGUAGCUUUUAGAUGCUUAGUCCUCCUGCUCUUCGAUAAGAACAGUGAUGCCUCUUCUCUCCUUUUGGCACUGUUUUCUGCUCUGCAGGUGCUAACAACCUCUCUCUCAAAACUCAGUAACAGAUUAAGUUAAUGGUGUUAUUGAUAUGCCAAUAGCUUGCAGCUGGGUUGAGGGUUCCUGAAGUCCACUCCAAAAUGCCAUAGCAAUAGGCUGCAAAGGGCUCAGCUUCUGGUGGAUCUUUGUUCAGAAACCUUUGUUGAGUCAGCUCAGUGCAUCUUGCCCCUGCCUCCUCCCCGGGCACAGAGCCAGCAUAAAAGAAUACAGCUCCACAGUGUCUGACUAACACGAGAGAACUGCAAUCAUGUGCCCACAUCUGAGUCAGAACAAAUAUGUACUGCUGGGUGGCUCCAGCAGUGCACAGCCCUCAUAGCAAUGUUGGAAGGUCCAAGCGCUCAGAGACCUUGCUCCUAGCCUGGAUGAGCCUCACUGCUUCCUUCUCAGAUCUGAUGAAAGAAUUUGGUAUCUGCUCUUGACGAAACGAUCAAAUGAUAUAAUAAAAGAUAUAAUCUCUGUCUGAAACCUUGUUUCUCUUAUGAUUUGUAUCUAUCAUAGUGAUAACAUGUCUCAUAUAUUUACAGAUCCAUAAAAAUAUAAGGUGUCACAUUCAAAAGUGUUUCGUAUAAUCUAAUCCCUGCAUCUGUUAUCUGUAGCAUAAGUGGGGUGAAGAGAGCCUUUGUAGGUUGAUGCAGCAUGAAAUGAUUAAUAGAGAAGUGUAUUUUGGAAAGAGGCAAAAGCUGGAUAAAAAGAUCUUUUUUUGCAUAUUAGUUGAUCUGCAAAGGUUCCUACUCUAGUCCUUCAGCAGAAAUGGAGCAGCCGAAAAGUUGGCUGUCUCUCCAGUAAUGUUUCAGUCUCCCUUCAAUGCUUUCCAGCAGCUGGAAUGUGUCCUGCUGGAAAGCAGUGUCAGCCUAUUAGCCUAGGCUAGGCUGCUUACUGUCACCUCUGCUCUCCUGUGGGAGCUUUGAGAUGUGUAGAGAUUUUUUGAAAUCAGUCUCAAUUUUGCAAAUGAACAAUGCAGGUCUGUGGAAAUGUCAGCCGUUUCAAACAUGGCAAAGUAAAUCUGCUCUUGAUGUUCCUGCAAGGAACCUUUCAACGGAUAGCAUUUCAAUGAUACUGUGAGAAUAAUGCAAUGGUAUUAGUGACCAUCAAGGUAUUAGUGGCCAGCAGCAUUCCUUUGGAAAUAACUCUUCAGAAGUAAUGCCUGAAUGACAGACAGAAAGAGAGACUUGUUCUGUAACGAAUACCACCCAAGUGGCAAAGGUACCCCAUCAUGAAUACCUGGACAGAGGUUUACUCCAAUGUUUCUGGGUGUGGAAUACAAGCAGAACUUUUUUCUUCACUACUGUGCUUGUCCAGGAGGAAGAUAGCACUUCCAGAGGAGAAAUUCCCCACCUUUUCAGACCAGUGUAACACUUUUAACUUAGUACUUUUCUCACAGAGGAUUAGUCAUAAUGUUUUCAUUGCAAAUAUUAAUAGGUGCUGUAAAGUGUCUGCUAAACAACUGCAAUAUAUUUACUGUUGUUCUGUGGAUCACAGUCAACAAACAAGUUCUUACAGGGGUAUUCUUUAUAUAAGGUCUGCAUAUUUUUAAGGAGGCACGUUAUAAUCUUAUUGAAAUCAUCUUGUGAAGCAUAAAACAGAGCAGUUGCAGAUGGCAGAAAACUGGGAGGAGCAGCUGAUACACCAGAGGAUUGUGCUGCCAUACAGAGGGACCUCAACGGGCUGGAGAAAUGGGCUGACAGGAACCUCAUGAAAUUCAACAAGGAGAAGCGCAGAGUUCUGCAUCUGGGGAGGAACAAACCCAUGCUCCCAUGUAUGCUGGGACCCACCCAGCUGGAAAGCAGCUUUGCAGAAAAGGACCUGGACCAGGCAGACAUCAAGUUGAACAUGAACCAGCAAUGUGCUCUUGCUGUGAAGAAGGCAAAAGGUAACCAGAGCUACAUUAGAAAUGUUGCCAGCAAGCCGAGGAAGGGGAUCCUUCCCCUCUACUCAACACCAGUGUAGCCACAUGUGGAGCACUAUAUCCAGCUGGGGUCCUCCGUACAAGAUGGAUAUGGACAUACUGGAGAGGGGAACCAAGAAACAGCCAGGAAGGUGAUUAAAUAAUUGGAGCAUCUCUCUUAUGAGGAAAGGCUGAGACAGCUGGGACUGCUUAGCCUGCAGAAGACAAGGCUCAGGUGGGGUCUCAUCAAUGUGUAUAAAUCCUGAGGAGAGGGUAGAAGACAGAGCUAGGCUCUUUUCAGUGCUGCCUGGUUAUAGAAUAAGAAGCAACGGACAUAAACAAAGCAUAGGAGAUUUCUCUUGAACACCAGGAAACAUGUUUACUGUAAAGGUGACUGAGUACUAGGAAAGGUUGCCCAGAGAUGUUGUGGAGUUUUCAUCUUUAGAAAUAUUCAAAAGCUAUCUGGACAUGGUCCUGGGCAGCCUGCUCUAGGUGUUUGAGCAGAGGGAUUGGACAAGAUAACUUCCAGAGGCCUAAACCAUGCUGUGAUUCUGUGAGUUCUGUAGCAACUUAUUGCUGCCAUAUUUCACUUGACUGCUGUUACAACUAGCAUUCA